rnacentral:lncRNA from 1 species
CGCCGGAAUCCCAGCUCCACUUACCAGGCCGCGGCUACCCCGCCGUCCCCCCCGACUCCCGCCACCCCGCUCUCUCAGGCUCUUCAGGAUCCAAGUCCGUAGGCCCUUUAAGGGGUCUAGUUGCCGUUUGCGAGGCCCUGGGACUUUGGUCCCAGACAGCGGGGAUCCGGAUGGCUUCCGUGCGGAUCCGAGAGGCCAAGGAGGGAGACUGUGGAGAUAUCCUGAGGCUGAUUCGGGUGAAGACUGCAGGCCGGUAACCCGGGGGUCAGAGUGGCGCGGCCAGAGCGGGGUCGUAGGAGGCGGGGGCAGGGGGAGGGGCUCGCCUUGGGAACCUGCUCGGGGAGCAGCGGGGCCCUUCUGCUCUAAUCUAGCUUCCGUACCCACGCCUUAGGAGCUAGCCGAAUUCGAAAAACUCUCGGAUCAGGUGAAGAUCAGUGAAGAAGCCCUGAGAGCAGAUGGCUUUGGAGACAAUCCUUUCUAUCACUGUUUGGUAGCAGAGAUUCUUCCAGCGCCCGGGAAGCUACUGGGUAAGAGCACCUGGCCCUUAGAAGUCCACCUCUCCAGCCGGCCUCAGAGGUCUCCCCACAGGCUUCCAGAAGCCUUACUCCCCUUUUCUCUCUCUCAGGGCCCUGCGUGGUGGGCUAUGGGAUAUACUAUUUCAUCUACAGUACAUGGAAGGGACGCACCAUUUAUCUGGAGGAUAUCUAUGUG